rnacentral:rRNA from 1 species
GAUGAACGCUGGCGGCGUGCCUAAUACAUGCAAGUCGAGCGAAUGGAUUAAGAGCUUGCUCUUAUGAAGUUAGCGGCGGACGGGUGAGUAACACGUGGGUAACCUGCCCAUAAGACUGGGAUAACUCCGGGAGACCGGGGCUAAUACCGGAUAAUAUUUUGAACUGCAUGGUUCAAAAUUGAAAGGCGGCUUCGGCUGUCACUUAUGGAUGGACCCGCGUCGCAGUAGCUAGUUGGUGAGGUAACGGCUCACCAAGGCAACGAUGCGUAGCCGACCUGAGGGGGUGAUCGGCCACACUGGGACGGGGACACGGCCCAGACUCCUACGGGAGGCAGCAGUAGGGAAUCUUCCGCAAUGGACGAAAGUCUGACGGAGCAACGCCGCGUGAGUGAUGAAGGCUUUUGGGUCGUAAACCUCUGUUGUUAGGGAAGAACAAGUGCUAGUUGAAUAAGCUGGCACCUUGACGGUACCUAACCAGAAAGCCACGGCUAACUACGUGCCAGCCGCCGCAGUAA